GAGACAGACCGAGAUCAGAAAUAUUUCCUCUUCCCUGCUUUAAAUGCCAUCCCAUUACUUUUGAAGCAAUGAUUGGGCUCUCCCUGAAGAGGAAACGUUCCCUCCACACCCUCCCAGUCAAAUCUCUCUCAGGAUCGGCUGCGUUUAAUUUCAUUUCCUCUCUCUCUCUCUCUCUCUCUCUCAAUCUCAGAGCCGGGUCCAGCUCUGCCAACAUGAGACGAGCCGCACAGCGUCCAGGAGGGUCCCAGGAGUGAACGUCGCAGAUAGUCAACCCUCACGCCAACUCCAGGAAAAGACCCUUCGGCCCGUCAGCUCCUAGCGCUCUUCCGUCCGGAGAUUGUGGUCGGCGGGGUGCUGGGGGUGGGCAGCGGGGGAUAGUGCCCCCAGAAAGGCGGAGGGCGAGAGAGAGGGAGAGGUCGAUAAAUCCGCAGCAAGCCUCCGCGCACAUCGGGGAUAGGAGGGCCGGGCGGAGCCGGUUUGGGCCUGAAUGGCCUUCGCCAAGCUCCCCGCGUGACCCGUCCCGUGUGGAGAUCCCCCGGACCUCGCCGCGUGGAAAGCGGGAUCCUCCCGCGCCUGAGCCCAUGACUGCGGGGGACGGCAGCGACCCUCUGGGGGGGGCCGGCGAGCGGGAGCCGCCCCCCGGCACCCUUUCUCCGAGUGGGCAGGGAGGGGCGCGACGGCGAAGAGGAGGGAGGAGGAAGGGGGCAGCUGGCGCAGCAGGCGCUCCCUCUUCGAGACGUAUUACUGGAACAGCCAGCAGUACCCGCUGCUCCUGACCGUCCUGGGCAUCGUCAUCGGGAUCUGCCUCGCCCUCAUCGCCAUCUUCUUCAUCAGCGGCAGGAGGGUGUCGGAAAACCUGACCUUCAUCGUCACCGUCUUCAUGGCUCUGGCCGUCUUCUGCGCCAUGCUGGUCCUCACCUGCAUCGAGCCUGUCUUCCAGCGGGCCAUGGGGCCGCUGUCCAUCUUCAUCUGGGCCUGCCUCGUCGCCAUGGGAUACGUGUUCAUCUUCGAGGGAGGGGUGGUGAGCGCCUGGGA